rnacentral:lncRNA from 1 species
GGGUUCGCGCCAUUUUCCUGCCUCAGCCUCCCGAGUAGCUGGGACUAUAGGCACCCGCCACCACGCCCGGCUAAUUUUUUGUAUUCACAGUACAGACGGGGUUUCACCGUGUUAGCCAGGAUGGUUUCGAUCUCCUGACCUCGUGAUCCGCCCGCCUCUGCCUCCCAAAGUGCUGGGAUUACAGGCGUGAGCCACCGCGCCCGGUGGAAAGGACACUUUUUUACAGUAUGAGCACUGAAACAAAAAGGCAAAGCAAGGUCUGUUCACCUUCAGCUGAGAACGUGAGGAUUGGUUCAGGAGUACAUGCGCAGGUUUGUCAUAUAAGCAAAUUAUGUGGCACAGAAGUUUGGUGUAUGGAUUAUUUCAUCACCCAGGCCGUUUCUCAGCGUUGGAUGUGCAAGCAGUUUUGAGAGAUGAAGUCAUGACUUCAAGACAAAAAAACAGGUUUGCUUAUUUUGCUACAAACCAAUAAGUUCUUCAGCCAUGCUGCAAAUCCACUGUGUAUCCAGUUCCCAUCUGCGGCCCGCACAUCAUCCCCAUGGGACUUGAGAGCAAGAGGAUCCCACGCAAAUCAUGUUGCUUGCUAUGCUGUUUGGAGAUGCGGACUGGCUUCCUUGUUCCUCAGCUUGCAGAUGGCCUACUGUGCGAUUUCACCUGGUGAUCAUCCUGCUGCCUGGAAUGCAUAUGUGAUGGCUGGAAUGCUAGCUCUAAUUUUGGAUCAUGAGGAAAAGUGCCACACCAUUGGAGAUGAGGGAUGAGCUGGAAGGGGUCCUGUGGCAGGGGAUCAUGUCCUGGGACAUACCAAGAGAGCAGCUUCUAGAGGACUGAUUAUCAGAGAGGAACUGGAAUGUGAAAAGACGUCUAACUAACCAUUAUUAAUGAUUCACUUGUAAUUUUCACUAAUGGAUGACCCACAUGAUUUCCUCUUCAAAGAAUUUGUCCAAAGCCACCCAUUUAAAAAAGAAAAGAAUGGAGGAUGGAAUCUCAUAAGUGAUCUUACCAUUUACAAAGCACAGUGUGAUUAAUCAAUUCUCCUUUAUAUUUUAGUGCCUACCGUGUUUCUUAAUUUGAUGGAGAAGCCUUCUUAUAAACACUCUUAGAAAAGCUAUAUGUAAUUAACUUUCUUCUUUGAGCAAAGGGACUUGUUUCUCUGAGAUGUCUAUAAAAGAUAAAGAGUUGAUGUGGGCCACACUCCUGCCUCUGCUUUCUCUUAGAGGUCUAAGGGUAAUUAGUGGACAAAAGCAGUCAAUUAAGCAGGUAUCUUCCCAGACACCAUGUCCACUCUUGAUGACUGUUGAAAACCUUAGAUAACCCCAUCAGGAACUGAGGUAAGGCCAUGAAUUGCCUUUAGUUUGAGCAUGGGUGAAUUUAAUCUCCUUAACCUAGUUAGGGAUUGGAAUCUGGCUCACCUUCAGGUUUUAUGAAUAAAGUUUUAUUGGAACACAGUCACUCCUAUUCGUUUUACAUCUAACUGUGGCUGCUUUUGUGCUACCAUAGCAGAGUUAAGUCACUCUAACAGAAAAUAGAUGGCUCACAAAGCCAAACAUAUUUUACUCCAUAGCCCUUUAAAAUCUGCUAACCUUUGAUAUGGUGACAGCAUGAAAUUUCUUUAAGCACUUGCCCAGUAUUAUAGAUUUUUUAUGAGCGAAUGUGAAUAUUAAUGUAAUGUAACUCAGGAAAGAAAUAUGUCUUGAACCCACAUUUAUAUAAAAUCAAUUUUGAUAGCAAGCUUAUUACUUCACAAAGAAAAAAAGUCUAUCCAUGUUUUUUCUGCUCAAAAAAAAUGUUGGCAGAGAAUGCUAUUAGAGUCAUAUAGGUAAAACAAACUUACAGGUAAAACAAGCUAAAUUUAACUUUUGCUCUAUGAAGUUUGCCAUGUUUCAAGGAAUAUAGUUAGACCCAGAAUGCCUUGAUAUUUUCAUAGUAAUGGGCCAUGCUCUAAUUUGGUGCUAUUUCCCUAUACUUAAUUGAGGAGCUAACAGUCAAUUGUGAGACUAAACCUUCAAUUAAUAAAAGCAGCAUGGGUCGAUCCUCAAAAGGAAAGCCCAUUUUUCUUGUCAGUGUGAGUCAGCCUCCUCUGUUUUUUUAUCUUGAUACAAAGGUAGAAAUAACCCCAAGUAAGCCAGGAACACUAUUCAGAUCUCAAAACGUUUGCUUAUUGUGAGUGCUCUCUUUUACAAGAUCAAAAAAAUUUCAUGAAUCAUUCUAAGCUGUUUACUGGGUUGGGGUCCACUGUUGUAGAAGUGUCUGUCUUGGAUGAGGUCUCAUGAUGAGAAACUAUUUAACCCUAAGAUGUUUCUUACUAAGUGACUCUUAGCUACUUAUAUAAUCAGAGACAGCCAUAAGAAUACAGAAGGAAUGCACGAAUAUACCCACCACUGGGAAGUUGUCAUCAGCUUUGCUCCAAAGGUCUUUUUCAUCAUUUUUCUAACUCUUCUGGAAAGUCGGGAGAUUCUCCCUCACUGCUGCAGACCAGAAAAACAUUGUACAUAUUAAGGCUCUCAGAUGAGAAAGGGUCUAAAGAAACUAUUAUGACAUAAUGAAUGUGCUGUUCUCUGUGCUCUGAAAGUGUAUGGGGAGGCUAAACAAUUAUCUUUGAGGUUUGUUAGUACCUAUGAAUUAUUCAUCAAUCUUAGAGUUUCUAAAAUUAUUCUCACAGAAUUAUCAUCUAGUGGGCAAAGAGGUCAUCUUGUCUGAUCACACCCAAACAGAAUUAUCCUUAAUACUCAUCACUUAAACAAAAACAAUUGGAAUAAAAAGACAGAACACUACACUGUUUAUGUAUUGUGUCCAAUAUUUACACACCAUAGAGAGAUAUAGAUUUUACAGAAUCUAAAUAUACAAAAUACCUAAUGGUUUAAUUUGAUUAAAUAACAGUAGUGAAUAUGCACACGAAGUGAGUUCCAUGUGUUACCAAAUUGCAAUUGACUAUGCUUUACAUGUUUUAAAAAUCAUCACUUUUGAUGAAACUUGCUCUUAGAUUCAGACUAGAUGUCUGUAUAGUCAUCAUUUUUAACACUGGCAGCAUAGUAAAGUCAACUGGGGAACUCUUAAAAGAAAUGUAUGUCUAGGGCCACACCACCGAAGACACCGAUUUCCUGGCAAUUGGUUUGGGAGAAGGCCCAGACAUCUGUAUUUUUAAAGUUCUGCGGGGUAGUCUAAUGUCAGCCAAGGUUGAAAAUCACUGCUUCACGUAGUAUAGCUAGAUAAGUGAGAUAGAGAGGUCUCCAUGUGCAGCUUCUAUUUUGAAAGUCAGUCAUGAUUCCUCAUUUUAGCAAGUUCUCUUUUUCUUUACCUCCUCUUUCCAUUCAGAAUUGAGUUCAAAUAUUUCUUUACAGCCAUUUGUUUUCUAAGGCGGGUAUAGUUGUCAGUGAAGACUGCAUCUGAGUGACGUUUGACUGGUACAGGGUCUUCUGAGAUGUUACUGCUAAGGAACAUGAGGAAAAGGAAAUCAAAGAGUUUUCACAAGAAAUGAUAAAUACACACAUGUUCCAGGUUUCUUGGAGCCACAUAAAAAGCAAUUCCCACCCAACUAAUUUUCUAUCAUAAAAAGACUAAAAGAAAAAUACAACUAAACCUAAGGAUGAAGGAAAGCAAGGAAUCAUCUGCCAUAUUUUGGCAUGGCCUGGGACUGUUUUAUGACACAUUCUGUACAGCUGAGCAAAUAAUUCAUCCAAAAAUAAAAAUUUGGGAAUAGCUGAAGUUGUGCUCUGCCAUUGGGAGAAAUUUUUUUUUUUUUUAAAAAAAACAUAAUUACUUCUUUAGAAGCUAUGCUACCCUGAGCAACGUCAUCUAAAUAUUUGACUGUUGGCCAUUUGGAAUUCUCCAUUUAAUUUGAGCAGGAAGUAAAAAGAAUAUUCUGUUUGACCUUAAAAUUUACCUCAGUCUGUACUAUCUCUUUUUGAUUGUUUUACUGAGUCUUGUUCAAUUUGAUUGCAGAUUGCUAAAUGAUUGCUACUUGAGAAAAAUGUGUGUCUGGAGUCAAUGAAUAUGAUAUUAUGAAAAAGUCUUAGUCCAUGGGCUUGAUAGAUGUUAUUGAAGAAUACAAGUUAUUUCAUUUAACUAAAUUAAACAUUAUCAACGAGUUUUCAAUUUCAAACAAAGUAAAUAACUUGUUAAGAGUGAAAAUACAAUAUUCAGAUUGAAUAAUGAUAACAUAUUUUAUAAAAAUAAUAAAUUCUCUUUACCUAACACGUUUUCCCAUAAGAGACUCAAGGUACUUUUUGGCAGAAAGUUGACCCAAGAGUUUACUGAAGUCACUGGUGAAAACUCCAUCAGCAUGCCUGGCAUUUCUAAAACAAGGAAGAAAAAAAUAGCUAUUAUUUUGUAAAUGGCUUUCUAGAAUAUUAUUAUGGCUUAUUAAAUAACAAAAAAAUUAUGGGCUUAUUAUGAAAGCUUCUCAUUAAAACUAAAGUUCAAAAGGAGAUUUCUUAACACCCUAACAAAAGAGAUCUUCUAGUCACUUAUAUCAAGAUAUACCCUAUAUUUCUAGCCCAAGACACUGAAAAAUUAAAGAAACAGGCAUUUCUAGGAGCACAUUUCAAUAUUCCUCCAUGGUUGAAUCUUUAUAACUAUUUCUUUCUAAGAAAUAUUGGUGUAAAAAUAUGAUCUAUUUAAAUUAGCUGCUAUUUGUACAUGGUGCUUUGUGUCUGCCCCACUGAAUAAAGACAUUCACAAUGGGAAAA